UCUUUUGCGGGACCCGUCACAAAAUCGCCAAACCCGACAAGUCGUGUUUUACACGAGAUUCAGCGGUGAAAUCACAUCGCCGAGAAUCAAUGAAAAUAACAGACGCGCUCGGUGAACGUCGUGCAUAAAAAAAAGCGAGCGAUACCGAUCCCGAUACUGUUCUUCAAUAACGCUCGGUUUCCGCGUAAUACUACCCGCAGUCUCGACGCUCGGCGAUUAGCCCUCGUACAGGCGAGCGGUGAGUUCGAUUUUCGUACCGGGAAAUUAUCUAACGGGCGACUCGUUUAAAACCAUAAAUCAUAAAUAUUCUCCGAGCACCGACAGCAGCCUGUACAGCCUACCUACUUACCUACCUACCUACCUGCCUACCUGCCUACCUACCAGCCUACCACCU